AACGAACGCUGGCGGCAUGCCUAACACAUGCAAGUCGAACGAGACCUUCGGGUCUAGUGGCGCACGGGUGCGUAACGCGUGGGAACCUGCCCUUAGGUUCGGAAUAACUCCCCGAAAGGGGUGCUAAUACCGGAUAAUGUCUUCGGACCAAAGAUUUAUCGCCUUUGGAUGGGCCCGCGUUGGAUUAGCUAGUUGGUAGGGUAAAAGCCUACCAAGGCGACGAUCCAUAGCUGGUCUGAGAGGAUGAUCAGCCACACUGGGACUGAGACACGGCCCAGACUACUACGGGAGGAAGCAGUGGGGAAUAUUGGACAAUGGGCGAAAGCCUGAUCCAGCAAUGCCGCGUGAGUGAUGAAGGCCUUAGGGUUGUAAAGCUCUUUUACCCGGGAUGAUAAUGACAGUACCGGGAGAAUAAGCUCCGGCUAACUCCGUG
rnacentral:rRNA from 1 species